rnacentral:rRNA from 1 species
UCAGACGAUGCGUCAUGCAUAUCAAUAAGCGGAGGAAAAGAAACUAACAAGGAUUCCCUUAGUAACGGCGAGUGAAGCGGGAAGAGCUCAAAUUUGAAGUCUUCAAGGUUUUACCUUGACGAAUUGUAGUUUAAAGAAGUGUUUUCUGCUGAAGUUUUGGUAAAAGUUCUUUGGAAUAGGACAUCAUAGAGGGUGAGAAUCCCGUAUUUGACCAUUAUUUUCAGCUUUGUGAUACACUUUCAAAGAGUCGGAUUGUUUGGGAAUGCAGUCCAGAAUGGGUGGUAAAUUUCAUCUAAAGCUAAAUAUUGGCGAGAGACCGAUAGCGAACAAGUACCGUGAGGGAAAGAUGAAAAGAACUUUGAAAAGAGAGUUAAACAGUACGUGAAAUUGUCAAAAGGGAAGCGUUUGACACCAGUGUUGUUUUCUCGAAAAUCAAUUAAAAAUGGCUCGAUUUUGUAUUGCUUGAGACCUUAAAAGCUCACUGUACAUUUUUCGUGUCUUUUUUAAUGCACUUUUCGUUUAACAAGUCAACAUCAGUUUCUUUUGUUGUAAAAGGGUCAUUGGAAGGUGGCUUUCUUUUCGGAGAAAGUGUUUAUAGCCUUUGGCCUCUGCAAUCGGAGAGACUGAGGUCUGCAGCGUAGACUCUUCGGGGUUAGAUACAUUUGUGCUAAGUUAUAGCUUUUUAUAGACAACUUGUUGACUAUAAUUAGUCUUGUAGCUUACUCGCUUAUGCUAUUUUACCUACGCUUAGGAUGUUGAACUACUGAGACAUAGA